rnacentral:rRNA from 1 species
CUCGAGCGGAACGAUCCUAGCUUGCUAGGAGGCGUCGAGCGGCGGACGGGUGAGUAAUGCAUAGGAAUCUACCCAGUCGUGGGGGAUAACCUGAGGAAACUCAGGCUAAUACCGCAUACGUCCUACGGGAGAAAGCGGGGGCUCUUCGGACCUCGCGCGAUUGGAUGAGCCUAUGUCGGAUUAGCUUGUUGGUAAGGUAACGGCUUACCAAGGCGACGAUCCGUAGCUGGUCUGAGAGGAUGAUCAGCCACACCGGGACUGAGACACGGCCCGGACUCCUACGGGAGGCAGCAGUGGGGAAUAUUGGACAAUGGGCGAAAGCCUGAUCCAGCCAUGCCGCGUGUGUGAAGAAGGCUUUCGGGUUGUAAAGCACUUUCAGCGAGGAAGAAAGCGUGCCGGCCAAUACCCGGUACGGACGACAUCACUCGCAGAAGAAGCACCGGGCUAACUCCGUGCCAGCAGCCGCGGUAAUACGGAGGGUGCAAGCGUUAAUCGGAAUUACUGGGCGUAAAGCGCGCGUAGGCGGCGUGUCACGCCGGGUGUGAAAGCCCCGGGCUCAACCUGGGAACGGCAUCCGGAACGGGCAGGCUAGAGUGCAGGAGAGGAAGGUAGAAUUCCCGGUGUAGCGGUGAAAUGCGUAGAGAUCGGGAGGAAUACCAGUGGCGAAGGCGGCCUUCUGGACUGACACUGACGCUGAGGUGCGAAAGCGUGGGUAGCAAACAGGAUUAGAUACCCUGGUAGUCCACGCCGUAAACGAUGUCGACUAGCCGUUGGGUCCCUUGAGGACUUAGUGGCGCAGUUAACGCGAUAAGUCGACCGCCUGGGGAGUACGGCCGCAAGGUUAAAACUCAAAUGAAUUGACGGGGGCCCGCACAAGCGGUGGAGCAUGUGGUUUAAUUCGAUGCAACGCGAAGAACCUUACCUACCCUUGACAUCCUGCGAACCCGGAAGAGAUUCCGGGGUGCCUUCGGGAGCGCAGAGACAGGUGCUGCAUGGCUGUCGUCAGCUCGUGUUGUGAAAUGUUGGGUUAAGUCCCGUAACGAGCGCAACCCUUGUCCCUAUUUGCCAGCGAUUCGGUCGGGAACUCUAGGGAGACUGCCGGUGACAAACCGGAGGAAGGUGGGGACGACGUCAAGUCAUCAUGGCCCUUACGGGUAGGGCUACACACGUGCUACAAUGGCCGGUACAAAGGGUUGCGAAAGCGCGAGCUGAAGCUAAUCCCGAAAAGCCGGUCUCAGUCCGGAUCGGAGUCUGCAACUCGACUCCGCGAAGUCGGAAUCGCUAGUAAUCGUGCAUCAGAAUGGCACGGUGAAUACGUUCCCGGGCCUUGUACACACCGCCCGUCACACCAUGGAAGUGGACUGCACCAGAAGUGGUUAGCUUAACCCUCGGGAGAGCGACCA